rnacentral:rRNA from 1 species
CUGGUUGAUCCUGCCAGUAACAUAUGCUUGUCUCAAAGAUUAAGCCAUGCAUGUGUUAGUAUAAACUGAUUUUAUAUGGUAAGACUGCGAAUGGCUCAUUAAAUCAGUUAUAGUUUAUUUGAUGAUUUUUUUCUACUUGGAUAACUGUAGAAAAGCUAGAGCUAAUACAUGCCCAAAGUCCCGACGAAGUUUUUAUUAAUUUUGAAGGGAAGCAUCUAUUAGUUUCAAAACCAAUACGGUCUUUUUCAUUAAAGGCUGGAACCCUUGGUGAUUCAUAAUAGAUUUCGCGAAUCGCAUGGCCUUUGUGCUGGCGAUGUAUCAUUCAAGUUUCUGCCCUAUCAACUAUGAAGGUAGGGUAUUGGCCUACCUUGGUUACAACGGGUAACUGAGAAUUAGGGUUUGAUUCCGGAGAGGGAGCCUGAGAAACGGCUACCACAUCCAAGGAAGGCAGCAGGCGCGCAAAUUACCCAAUACACAAAGUGUGAGGUAGUGACAAGAAAUAACAAUACGGGGCCCUUCGGGUCUUGUAAUUGGAAUGAGAACAAUUUAAACCCCUUAACGAGGAACUAUUGGAGGGCAAGCCUGGUGCCAGCAGCCGCGGUAAUUCCAGCUCCAAUAGCGUAUAUUAAAGUUGCUGCAGUUAAAAAGCUCGUAGUCGAAUUUUUGGCCUUUUUCUGCUGUCGGUCCGCGAUUUGCUUUGCUUAAUUGCGAGGUGUCGUGAGCACUGGCGUGCGGAGGCCUUCCUUCUGAGGACUGGCUGCUGUGCUUUAUUGCGCGGUGGAUUUUCAGGACUUGGAACUUUUACUUUGAGAAAAUUAGAGUGUUCAAAGCAGGCCUUUUCGCUUCUGAAUACGUAAGCAUGGAAUAAUUCUAUAGGACCUGUGGUUCUAUUUUGUUGGUUUAUGGAACCGAGGUAAUGAUUAAUAGGGGUGGAGUGAGGGCAUUCAUAUUCCAUUGUCAGAGGUGAAAUUCAUGGAUUAAUGGAAGAUGAACAACUGCGAAAGCUUCUGUCAGACACACCCCCAUUGAUCAAGAACGAAAGUUGAAGGCGCGAAGACGAUCAGACACCGUUGUAGUUUCAACCAUAAACUAUGUCGACUAGGGAUUGGAGGGAGCUUGGCUUGACGACCCCUUCAGCACCUUAUGAGAAAUCAAAGUCUUUGGAUUCCGGGGGGAGUAUGGUCGCAAGGCAGAAACUUAAAGGAAUUGACGGAAGGGCACCACCAGGAGUGGAGCCUGCGGCUUAAUU